rnacentral:tRNA from 1 species
GGGACUAUAGUUAAUAAUAACAUUUGAGUUGCAUUCAAAAAGUACUACCUGAAUAGUUAGUCUCA